UGCCCUUCCGGGCUGAUUCGGGCUCGGCCGAUCCUCCCACCCUUUGUGUACCUACCUCUGUUGCUUUGGCGGGCCGCGGUCCUCCGCGGCCGCCCCCCUCCCCGGGGGGGUGGCCAGCGCCCGCCAGAGGACCAUCAAACUCCAGUCAGUAAACGAUGCAGUCUGAAAAACAUUUAAUAAACUAAAACUUUCAACAACGGAUCUCUUGGUUCUGGCAUCGAUGAAGAACGCAGCGAAAUGCGAUAAGUAAUGUGAAUUGCAGAAUUCAGUGAAUCAUCGAAUCUUUGAACGCACAUUGCGCCCUUUGGUAUUCCGAAGGGCAUGCCUGUUCGAGCGUCAUUACAACCCUCAAGCUCUGCUUGGUAUUGGGCACCGUCCUUUGCGGGCGCGCCUCAAAGACCUCGGCGGUGGCGUCUUGCCUCAAGCGUAGUAGAACAUACAUCUCGCUUCGGAGCGCAGGGCGUCGCCCGCCGGACGAACCUUCUGAACUUUUCUCAAGGUUGACCUCGGAUCAGGUAGGGAUACCCGCUGAACUUAAGCAUAUCAAUAAGCGGAGGAAUAA
rnacentral:rRNA from 1 species